rnacentral:rRNA from 1 species
AUUGAACGCUGGCGGCAUGCCUUACACAUGCAAGUCGAACGGCAGCACGGGAGCAAUCCUGGUGGCGAGUGGCGAACGGGUGAGUAAUGUAUCGGAACGUGCCCAGUCGUGGGGGAUAACGUAGCGAAAGCUACGCUAAUACCGCAUACGAUCUAUGGAUGAAAGCGGGGGAGCGCAAGACCUCGCGCGAUUGGAGCGGCCGAUAUCAGAUUAGGUAGUUGGAGGGGUAAAGGCUAACCAAGCCGACGAUCUGUAGCUGGUCUGAGAGGACGACCAGCCACACUGGGACUGAGACACGGCACAGACUCCUACGGGAGGCGGCAGUGGGGAAUUUUGGACAAUGGGCGCAAGCCUGAUCCAGCAAUGCCGCGUGCAGGAUGAAGGCCUUCGGGUUGUAAACUGCUUUUGUACGGAGCGAAAAGGCUCUCUCUAAUACAGGGGGCUCAUGACGGUACCGUAAGAAUAAGCACCGGCUAACUACGUGCCAGCAGCCGCAGUAAGAC